AAAAAAAAAAACAUUUGUUUUGGCAAAUAGAGCCAUCAGGUGCUCUGUGCAUUCAAAUAGUUGAAUGUUCUAUUUUGGAAAACAAAUGUUUUUUUUGCCCUAUUUUCAAAGGCAUAAAAUUAAAAGAGAAUCAGCUGAAAAGUUCAAUAGAGAAUUCAGGAGGCAAAAGCCGGCUAGCAAUUUUGAUCAGCUAUAAACCCGUUCUACCGCAGAUCAUCCCUUUAUAUGCUCCGUCACAACACCUGUUAACAUCCAUUUAUAUUUAUCUAUAUAUGAUGCACUUUUCCUCUAUUUUUCAGAGUUUAAUGCAGCUCCAGUUGUCCUGCCCUGCUGCUUUCCAGCAAAACUCAAGUUUGAUCUCCCAUGAAUUGAACCCUUGCUCUGAGUGCCAGUAGUGCCUGAUCUAUCAAAAUCUGAUCCAUUGAUUUCCUGAGAAUCUUUCAAUUUACUCAAAAUUUUUACAUUUAAGAUUCCCCCGGCAGCAGCAAAACUAACACAGUUAGGCUGUUUUGAAUCAUUUGAUGGAACCUUCCUUAGUCGGUGAGACUGUGCCAUUGGAGUAAC
rnacentral:misc_RNA from 1 species